rnacentral:rRNA from 1 species
GCCGCCGCGGUAAUACGGAGGAUGCGAGCGUUAUCCGGAAUUAUUGGGUUUAAAGGGUGCGUAGGCUGUUUGUUAAGUCAGGGGUGAAAUACCGCAGCUCAACUGUGGAAUUGCCUUUGAUACUAGCAGGCUUGAAUACUGUUGCCGUGGGAGGAAUGAGUAGUGUAGCGGUGAAAUGCAUAGAUAUUACUCAGAACACCGAUUGCGAAGGCAUCUCACGAAGCAGGCAUUGACGCUGAGGCACGAAAGCGUGGGGAUCAAACAGGAUUAGAUACCCC